CAAAGUGCUUACAGUGCAGGUAGUGAUGUGUGCAUCUACUGCAGUGAGGGCACUUGUAGC
rnacentral:pre_miRNA from 1 species